UUCCAGGUUCAGUCUGAUGUCUUCGGAUGCUUGCAACAACACGUGUAGACUGUUUUCAUUAGCCUACAUAUCCUGCAGAUGCCAGAAUCAACAGCUGAGCACAUAUUCCAGCCCAUAAACAAAUAAAACCGACACAAACUGCGAUGAAGUGAAGGAAUCGAGUGUCACUCGACUCACCUGUAAGUUUGAGUGCUUUGGGAACGAAGAGGCGUCUAACUGACCAGAAUGUGUCCGAAUCAGCUGUGCCAAUACGCUUAGACCAGAGUAGGCUUGGGUGACGCUUGGACAUGCAGAAUUAUAGAUGUGUGUGGACUGUUACACCCAGCCAACAGAAGCAUGUGGACAGACAUUGACUGUAAUGAUGGACAUCUGCUCAUGCACAGAUGAUUCCAGUUUGGGAAUUGACUCCAACAGCAGUGACAACCAUUUUUCCAGAGCCCUCCAUGACAUGAGUACCUGCACAGAGGAAGAUGAGAUAUACAACUAGGCCAUGCCUGUGCGUAUAACAGUCCAAAGGCCUCUGAAGAUCACUUGAGUCAAAGGUUAGACGCGAGCCAGGCCCCGGGCGACGACCUCUCCCCCUCCGCCGCCUCCGGUCUUCGAGAUCUCCA